rnacentral:piRNA from 1 species
UACAUCCUUGAGAAGUUAAUUCACUUC